rnacentral:rRNA from 1 species
CCUACGGGAGGCUGCAGUGGGGAAUAUUGGACAAUGGGGGCAACCCUGAUCCAGCCAUGCCGCGUGUGUGAAGAAGGCCCUCGGGUUGUAAAGCACUUUCAGUGAGGAAGAACGCCUGGUGGUUAAUACCCAUCAGGAAAGACAUCACUCACAGAAGAAGCACCGGCUAACUCCGUGCCAGCAGCCGCGGUAAUACGGAGGGUGCGAGCGUUAAUCGGAAUUACUGGGCGUAAAGCGCGCGUAGGUGGCUUGAUAAGCCGGUUGUGAAAGCCCCGGGCUCAACCUGGGAACGGCAUCCGGAACUGUCAAGCUAGAGUGCAGGAGAGGAAGGUAGAAUUCCCUGUGUAGCGGUGAAAUGCGUAGAGAUCGGGAGGAAUACCAGUGGCGAAGGCGGCCUUCUGGACUGACACUGACACUGAGGUGCGAAAGCGUGGGUAGCAAACAGGAUUAGAUACCCUAGUAGUC